rnacentral:rRNA from 1 species
AUUGAACGCUGGCGGCAGGCCUAACACAUGCAAGUCGAACGGUAACAGGAAGAAGCUUGCUUCUUUGCUGACGAGUGGCGGACGGGUGAGUAAUGUCUGGGAAACUGCCUGAUGGAGGGGGAUAACUACUGGAAACGGUAGCUAAUACCGCAUAAUGUCGCAAGACCAAAGAGGGGGACCUUCGGGCCUCUUGCCAUCGGAUGUGCCCAGAUGGGAUUAGCUAGUAGGUGGGGUAACGGCUCACCUAGGCGACGAUCCCUAGCUGGUCUGAGAGGAUGACCAGACACACUGGAACUGAGACACGGUCCAGACUCCUACGGGAGGCAGCAGUGGGGAAUAUUGCACAAUGGGCGCAAGCAUGAUGCAGCUAUGCCGAGUGUAUGAAGAAGGCCUUCGGGUUGUAAAGUACUUUCAGCGGGGAGGAAGGGAGUAAAGUUAAUACCUUUGCUCAUUGACGUUACCCGCAGAAGAAGCACCGGCUAACUCCGUG